GACGAACGCUGGCGGCGUGCCUAAUACAUGCAAGUAGAACGCUGAAGGAGGAGCUUGCUUCUCUGGAUGAGUUGCGAACGGGUGAGUAACGCGUAGGUACCUGCCUGGUAGCGGGGGAUAACUAUUGGAAACGAUAGCUAAUACCGCAUAACAGUAGAUAUCGCAUGAUAUCUACUUGAAAGGUGCAAUUGCAUCACUACCAGAUGGACCUGCGUUGUAUUAGCUAGUUGGUGAGGUAACGGCUCACCAAGGCGACGAUACAUAGCCGACCUGAGAGGGUGAUCGGCCACACUGGGACUGAGACACGGCCCAGACUCCUACGGGAGGCAGCAGUAGGGAAUCUUCGGCAAUGGACGGAAGUCUGACCGAGCAACGCCGCGUGAGUGAAGAAGGUUUUCGGAUCGUAAAGCUCUGUUGUAAGAGAAGAACGAGUGUGAGAGUGGAAAGUUCACACUGUGACGGUAUCUUACCAGAAAGGGACGGCUAACUACGUG
rnacentral:rRNA from 1 species